UUAUCAUUUUGCCAAGCUUCAGGGAUCAUCAUCAUUAUAGCUUCAGGGAGACUUCUUCCAGCUCGAACUAGAAGCUCAAGUACACCAUCAAAAGCCCCUGAGUCAGAAGAACUAGCAUCCACAAUAGGUAGAAGCUUCUUCAUCUCAUUCUUGGACAGAUCAAGCUCCUUGCACUUCAAUAGACCCUCACGUGCCUUCAUCCAGUUCACAUUGCCUCUAAGCGUAUUAAUUUCCCCAUUAUGGCCCAAGACACGCAUAGGUUGAGCACGAUCCCAGCUAGGAAAUGUAUUUGUAGAAAAUCGAGAGUGUAUCAGGGCCAUGUAGCUCGUAAACCUUUCAUUGCCAAGAUCUGCAU
rnacentral:misc_RNA from 1 species